GACGAACGCUGGCGGCGUGCCUAAUACAUGCAAGUCGAACGGUUUAGUUCCAAGAGGCGUGCCUGUUGGGACUAGGCAGUGGCGGACGGGUGAGUAACACGUAGGCAACCUACCUGUCAAACCGGGAUAACCUCGGGAAACCGAAGCUAAACCCGGAUAAGCUCCUUUUUCGCAUGAAGGGGGAGUGAAAAGGUGCGACCAGAUGACAGAUGGGCCUGCGGCGCAUUAGCUAGUAGGUAGGGUAACGGCCUACCUAGGCGAUGAUGCGUAGCCGACCUGAGAGGGCGUACGGCCACACUGGGACUGAGAUACGGCCCAGACUCCUACGGGAGGCAGCAGUAGGGAAUCUUCGGCAAUGGGCGAAAGCCUGACCGAGCAACGCCGCGUGAGUGAGGAAGGCCUUCGGGUUGUAAAACUCUGUUGUUUGGGAAGAAGGGAAAGGGUAGGACCCUUUGGUGACGGUACCAAACGAGAAAGCCCCGGCUAACUACGUGCCAGCAGCCGCAGUAA
rnacentral:rRNA from 1 species